rnacentral:rRNA from 1 species
UACGUAGGGGGCAAGCGUUGUCCGGAUUUAUUGGGCGUAAAGAGCUCGUAGGUGGUUCGGUAAGUCGGAUGUGAAAUCUCCAGGCUCAACCUGGAGGGGUCAUUCGAUACUGCCGUGACUAGAGGUCGGUAGGGGAGUGUGGAAUUCCUGGUGGAGCGGUGAAAUGCGUAGAUAUCUGCAGGAACACCAAUGGUGAAAACAGACAGCUGGGAGUGUGCUGACGCUGAGACACGAAAGCCAGGGGAGCGAACGGG